rnacentral:lncRNA from 1 species
AGGUGGGGUUUUGGGGUGCAGUAAGCAUUGCCUUCUAGAACCUACCCUUCCCAGGACGUCUCUUGGCAACCAAAUGGGCUUGUUUUCAAGAGUGUCUGGUCCCUGGAGCUUCUUUCUCCUGUCCCUGAGCUGUUAGGGGUGGAGCUAGUCCCUCUGGCUUUGGUCUAGAAAACCUUUCUGCAAAAAAGUAGUUAAUGAAUUGGAACACAGAAUCUCACUGUCCCUUCUUGAAAUGGGGCUUCUGUCUGUCGGGACAGACAGAAAGGAAUUGCAAAUGCAGGAUUAGGUACCCUGACACUAAUGCAAUUCUCAUUUGCUAUCAGUUUACUCCAUGGUCUACAAAAUGCUAUUAAAAAUGGAUGCAGGAUGUGAGAUAAAACAUAUCAAAUCCAAGAUGAUUCACAAGAGCACUCACUUGUCUGGUCCUUUGGCUCCAGUGGCCGUAAACCAGGAGAGACACAGCCCAGGGUGCCAGGGAACUACGUGGCUGCAGUCAGUUCAAACUGGAUCCCGCAGUGGUUAUGGCAUGCACAGAGAGGUGAGCUUGUGGUUACAAAAUGACCAGUGGCGGCUGGGCAUAAUGGUGCAC